CUACACAUGCAGUCGAGCGGUAGAGAGGUGCUUGCACCUCUUGAGAGCGGCGGACGGGUGAGUAAAGCCUAGGAAUCUGCCUGGUAGUGGGGGAUAACGCUCGGAAACGGACGCUAAUACCGCAUACGUCCUACGGGAGAAAGCAGGGGACCUUCGGGCCUUGCGCUAUCAGAUGAGCCUAGGUCGGAUUAGCUAGUUGGUGAGGUAAUGGCUCACCAAGGCGACGAUCCGUAACUGGUCUGAGAGGAUGAUCAGUCACACUGGAACUGAGACACGGUCCAGACUCCUACGGGAGGCAGCAGUGGGGAAUAUUGGACAAUGGGCGAAAGCCUGAUCCAGCCAUGCCGCGUGUGUGAAGAAGGUCUUCGGAUUGUAAAGCACUUUAAGUUGGGAGGAAGGGCAUUAACCUAAUACGUUAGUGUUUUGACGUUACCGACAGAAUAAGCACCGGCUAACUCUGUGCCAGCAGCCGCGGUAAUACAGAGGGUGCAAGCGUUAAUCGGAAUUACUGGGCGUAAAGCGCGCGUAGGUGGUUCGUUAAGUUGGAUGUGAAAUCCCCGGGCUCAACCUGGGAACUGCAUUCAAAACUGUCGAGCUAGAGUAUGGUAGAGGGUGGUGGAAUUUCCUGUGUAGCGGUGAAAUGCGUAGAUAUAGGAAGGAACACCAGUGGCGAAGGCGACCACCUGGACUGAUACUGACACUGAGGUGCGAAAGCGUGGGGAGCAACAGGAUUAGAUACCCUGGUAGUCCACGCCGUAAACGAUGUC
rnacentral:rRNA from 1 species